AUCCAGCUGACGAGUCCCGAAUAAAAUGAGACGCACGUCCUGAAU
rfam:Schistosoma rodhaini strain Burundi genome assembly, scaffold: SROB_contig0000254